rnacentral:rRNA from 1 species
AACGAACGCUGGCGGCAUGCCUAACACAUGCAAGUCGAACGAGACCUUCGGGUCUAGUGGCGCACGGGUGCGUAACGCGUGGGAACCUGCCUUUAGGUUCGGAAUAACUCAGAGAAAUUUGAGCUAAUACCGGAUGAUGUCUUCGGACCAAAGAUUUAUCGCCUUUAGAUGGGCCCGCGUUGGAUUAGCUAGUUGGUGGGGUAAAGGCCUACCAAGGCGACGAUCCAUAGCUGGUCUGAGAGGAUGAUCAGCCACACUGGGACUGAGACACGGCCCAGACUCCUACGGGAGGCAGCAGUGGGGAAUAUUGGACGAUGGGCGAAAGCCUGAUCCAGCAAUGCCGCGUGAGUGAUGAAGGCCUUAGGGUUGUAAAGCUCUUUUACCCGAGAUGAUAAUGACAGUAUCGGGAGAAUAAGCUCCGGCUAACUCCGUG